UUCUGAGUUUUUUAAUCAUCAAGUUGGCCAAAAUAAAAUAGAUAAAGCUAGAUAGAGCCUAGAUAAAGCCUAGAGGAUUUAUUUAGCAGAAGUUAUAGAAGUUGUUGGUAUAGUUUACAAAAUUAAGUAUUAUAAGAAAUCAGGAGACAUUUGUAAUAAAUUUAUAUGAGACGAUGACGAUUUUACCAUUCUACAGAAUUUAAAUAUACAUUAUUUCUUCUAAGGCUUGUUUCUAAUAAUAAAAAUUAAUUUUUAGUUUAACAGGUGUUUCGUUUUUUUUUAUAUUUAGUGUGUGACAGCAUGCAACCUUAAUCAAACUUUUAACCUGACAAAGUGUCUCAUAACUUGUAAAAAUUAUAAUUUGUGUGAACUUGGUUGUUUAUUCUACAGUCAUAUUAAAGAAAAUGACACUGGUUGUUGACCAACGGUUUAUAAUCGAAAUUUAAUAUGGCUGGCGGUAAAGGUAAAGAGAAGUGUAAAGGAACAAACAUUAGGUAUUUACUUGUAAGUUAAGUGUAAAAUUAUAUAUUUUUU